rnacentral:lncRNA from 1 species
GCGCGUGAUUCCCGGCUCUUUCCUUCUGGGAAGACGAGCCUGACAGGUAGGGCCCACCUGUCUGUGACUUGGCGUAGGCGCGCGUUGCGCGGGGCCGGUACGGUUCGGGCGGGCUCUGGCGAAGCUGGGCCAGUUCAGCCCAAAACGGCCGGGCCGGUCCGGUUCCCCCCCCCCCUUUUUUUUUUCUUUUAGACUUUUCUUUUUCCCUUUUCUCAUUUCUUUGAUAUCUUUUGAUUUUGAACUCUAAAUUGGUCCAAAUAAAUUCCAGAAAAUUUGUAAAAUCAUGUUUUAUCAUGAUACACCUUUUGCGACCAAAUUCCCUCCAAAAUAAAAUAGAUAACAAAAACUUUGCCCUAUGAAUGCCUUUAGGGCUUUAUAUCUAUUUGAAAUAUAUAAUUUUUUCAACUCCAAUUUAAAUACCAAAAAUUAGGGGAUAGCUUAUUUAUGCAAUAAACCCCUUUUAUAAAUAAACCCUAUUGGUUUGAAGAUCCAAAGCUCAAAUGGGUGUGAACCCUAGGGUUUAAAUUGAAAUAAAAAGUUUUAAAGCCUUUUGAGAUUCAAAUUUGAACUCAAAUAUGCAAUUGUGGCAUGAUG